rnacentral:rRNA from 1 species
ACGCACGCUGGCGGCGUGCUUAACCCAUGCAAGUCGAACGGUGAAGGGACCGGUUUUUGCUGGUUCUGGAUGAGUGGCGAACGGGUGAGUAACACGUGAGUAACCUGCCCCCUUCUUCUGGAUAACCGCAUGAAAGUGUGGCUAAUACGGGAUAUUCUGCGCCUGCUGCAUGGUGGGUGUGGGAAAGAUAUUGUUUCGGUGGGGGAUGGGCUCGCGGCCUAUCAGCUUGUUGGUGGGGUGAUGGCCUACCAAGGCGGUGACGGGUAGCCGGCCUGAGAGGGUGGACGGUCACACUGGGACUGAGACACGGCCCAGACUCCUACGGGAGGCAGCAGUGGGGAAUAGUGCACAAUGGGCGCAAGCCUGAUGCAGCGACGCCGCGUGAGGGAUGGAGGCCUUCGGGUUGUAAACCUCUUUCGCCAGUGAAGCAGGCCUGUCCCUUUUGUGGGUGGGUUGACGGUAGCUGGAUAAGAAGCGCCGGCUAACUACGUG